UAACACGUGGGGAACCUGCCCCAUAGUCUGGGAUACCACUUGGAAACAGGUGCUAAUACCGGAUAAGAAAGCAGACCGCAUGAUCAGCUUUUAAAAGGCGGCGUAAGCUGUCGCUAUGGGAUGGCCCCGCGGUGCAUUAGCUAGUUGGUAAGGUAAAGGCUUACCAAGGCGAUGAUGCAUAGCCGAGUUGAGAGACUGAUCGGCCACAUUGGGACUGAGACACGGCCCAAACUCCUACGGGAGGCAGCAGGU
rnacentral:rRNA from 1 species